rnacentral:rRNA from 1 species
GACGAACGCUGGCGGCGUGCCUAAUACAUGCAAGUCGAGCGGACGGAUGGGAGCUUGCUCCCAGACCGUCAGCGGCGGACGGGUGAGUAACACGUGGGCAACCUGCCUGUAAGACUGGGAUAACUCCGGGAAACCGGGGCUAAUACCGGAUAACUCUUUCCCUCACAUGAGGGAAAGCUGAAAGAUGGCAUCUCGCUAUCACUUACAGAUGGGCCCGCGGCGCAUUAGCUAGUUGGUGAGGUAACGGCUCACCAAGGCGACGAUGCGUAGCCGACCUGAGAGGGUGAUCGGCCACACUGGGACUGAGACACGGCCCAGACUCCUACGGGAGGCAGCAGUAGGGAAUCUUCCGCAAAGGACGAAAGUCUGACGGAGCAACGCCGCGUGAGUGAUGAAGGUGUUCGGAUCGUAAAACUCUGUUGUCAGGGAAGAACAAGUACCGGAGUAACUGCCGGUACCUUGACGGUACCUGACCAGAAAGCCACGGCUAACUACGUG